rnacentral:rRNA from 1 species
CGGACGGGUGAGUAACGCGUGGAAAACCUGCCGUAUACUGGGGGAUAACACUUAGAAAUAGGUGCUAAUACCGCAUGAGCGCACAGCUUCGCAUGAAGCGGUGUGAAAAACUCUGGUGGUAUACGAUGGUUCCGCGUCUGAUUAGCUAGUUGGUGGGGUAAUGGCCUACCAAGGCAACGAUCAGUAGCCGGCCUGAGAGGGUGAACGGCCACAUUGGGACUGAGACACGGCCCAAACUCCUACGGAAGGCAGCAG